UACGUAGGGGGCAAGCGUUAUCCGGAUUCAUUGGGCGUAGAGAGCGUGUAGGCGGCCAGGUAGGUCGGUUGUGAAAACUGGAGGCUCAACCUUCAGAGGUCGACCGAAACCAUCUGGCUAGAGUCCGGGAGAGGAGAGUGGAAUUCCUGGUGUAGCGGUGAAAUGCGCAGAUAUCAGGAAGAACACCCGUGGCGAAGGCGACUCACUGGACACAUAUUGACGCUGAGGUGCGAAAGCGUGGGGAGCAAACAGG
rnacentral:rRNA from 1 species